AAUAUUGGACAAUGGGCGCAAGCCUGAUCCAGCCAUGCCGCGUGAGUGAUGACGGCCUUAGGGUUGUAAAGCUCUUUCGCCAGGGACGAUAAGUACCGUACCUGGAUAAGAAGACCCGGCUAACCUCGGGCCAGCCGCCGCGGUAAUACGAAGGGGGCUAGCGUUGUUCGGAAUCACUGGGCGUAAAGCGCACGUAGGCGGAUCUUUAAGUCAGGGGUGAAAUCCCGGGGCUCAACCCCGGAAGUGCCUUUGAAACUGGUGGUCUUGAGUACGGGAGAAGUGAGUGGAAUUCCGGGUGUAGGGGUGAAAUUCGUAGAUAUUCGGAGGAACACCAGUGGCGAAGGCGGCUCGCUGGGCCGAUACUGAAACGGAGGCGCGAAAGCGGGGGGAGCAAACGGG
rnacentral:rRNA from 1 species